rnacentral:rRNA from 1 species
GAUGAACGCUAGCGACAGGCUUAACACAUGCAAGUCGAGGGGCAGCAUAAAAGUAGCAAUACUUUGGUGGCGACCGGCGCACGGGUGAGUAACGCGUAUGCAACCUACCUAUCAGAGGGGAAUAACCCGGCGAAAGUCGGACUAAUACCGCAUAAAACAGGGGCACCGCAUGGUGAUAUUUGUUAAAGAAAUUCGCUGAUAGAUGGGCAUGCGUUCCAUUAGGUAGUUGGUAGGGUAACGGCCUACCAAGGCUACGAUGUUUAGGGGACCUGAGAGGGUUAUCCCCCACACUGGUACUGAGACACGGACCAGACUCCUACGGGGGGCAGCAGUGGGGAAUCUUGCACAAUGGGCGAAAGCCUGAUGCAGCGACGCCGCGUGAGCGAAGAAGGCCUCGGUUGUAAGACUCUGUCUGGAGGGACGGAAGAAAGUAGACGGUACCGUCCGGAGGAAGCCACGGCUAACCUGCGUG